AUGUUUUUUUGCUUUGUAUAUUUUCAGUCUAACAACGUAGCAAAGGAGGAUGCCCUGUUUUCCGCCAGUGAUUCUCAGGGAGCCCUGUUAAAGACCUCUCUGCCCGCCAAGAAAACGCCACGGGAAAUCAGCGCCUUGGGAUUCAGUUGUUUCACUGUCUUCAUGGCAGAACCAGUGACAGACUGUGGUCAGCGCUGGGCCUAACACCUCCAUCACUGCCCCACCCUUGAUCCCUGCGGAGUCUGCAUGGGACCACCCUUUGGAACCUACAAAGUUCACUUACAAGAGCCGGAAAAGAUGGAGACAGGAAAUUCCAGCUGGAUAUUAUAGACAGCAUUUGGAAGAAACCUCUCUGUUUCAGAAGGACCAUCUGGUUCAGAUCUAGUGUUCCUCAAAAAUAGGAAGGAAGGAAUAUAUACAAAGAAUAACCUACCUGUUAUUUCAAGGAAGCAGGGUUUUUUUUUUUAAUAAUGUAGCGCCUGUUUGCUGACUGAUAGCAAAAUGAAAAACUGAAACUGAAAUCUCAAAUACUCCAGCUAAACUUUGAAUUUUGUAGGACCAUAAAUUUAGAGGAGACCUUAGUCCAACUUCUUCAUUUUACAAAUGAGGAAACGGGCCAAGACUUGCCCAACCUCACAGAGAUGAUAAGUAAAUCCACCUAGCCCCUUAGACUCUGUAUCAGUUCCUCAAAAAGCUACCAGUGUUUCAGAUAGAGUCAUUUAUGUAGCAGCAUAGUGUAGUGGGAAAAGCCUGGACUUUGGGUCCACUUGGAACUGGAAGGCCUAGAUUUAAGUCCUGGUUCUACCACUUUCCAGUUCUGUGAAUUCCACUUUAUUAGCCUCAGUUUCCUUAUCUACAAAAUGAGGGGAUUGGUCCAAGUGAUUUCUAAGGUCCUUUACAAAGCUCUAACAGUCUGUGGGACCAUCCUCCAGUUUUCAAAGUACUUUCAAGUAUGUUAUUUAGUACUGUACAAAUCAAACUACCGCGGGGAUACUUUAUGAGGCUAAAUAAAAUAAUAGCAAAAUUCA
rnacentral:lncRNA from 1 species